UAUAUAAAAAUGUAGUAAAACUUUCACUGUUUUAAUCUCUCUAAUUCCUAAUUAUCUUGUAUGUUUUACACUGUUGUUUCUCUUUCGUUUCAGAUUAUCAGAUGACAUCUGCUUCACAGGAUUUUUACAUAAGCAACGUCAUUAGAAUGGAAAGUCUUUUGAAGACUGAGCAAAGAUGUUAUACAAAACACGUAUAACCCUGUUUCUAUGAAUAUUUACUGAAUUACUGCAAAAUAUAUCUGGGGAACUCUGACAUAUAUGUAGCAAAAUUUCUCUUCUUUAUUGUCUGGAAUACACAGAAAAUUAUAUUUGCAUAUUAAUUAAUCAUUUAGCAUUUAAACUAGCACAAAUAUUCUGACCUCUCACACUCACCAUGCAGUGUCAAUUUAAACAUAAACAAUCAAAUCACUGAAGUCUCAAAGCUAUGAGAUAAUCCAUGAUUAAUUCAAAACAAUAUGAAUAAAUAAGCAUUACAUUUCACAAAGGAAUCUCAAUGCUAAACGGUUAAACUGGCCAUAUUUUUGUGUGUUUUAUAUUCAUACUAGCCAGAUCCCACCCCUCACACCCACCCUACAAGGUCAUUCUAAAAAUAAACAAUCACUACAUUGAAAUCUGAACAUGAUAGCAUAAUGAAUGAUUAAUUCAGAAGAAUUUCAAUAAACAUUCUAUUUGACAAAGUAAUCUGAAUGUUAAUGAGUUAAAGCAAUUAAGAAGGCAGUUUGCAGCAUCUUCAGAUAUUAACAAAGAACACUUUUCAUGGAGAUAUAUCAGUAGAAAUAUUUGUUCAGAGCAAUAUACGAGAAGAAGGAAAACCUUUGUGACCUGUGACAAGAGAAAGGAACAUUAUGGAAAAUGAAUUAUUUAGGAGUGAAGUUGAAUGUAAAAGAGAGUCUGAAGAAAUUGAUUUUUCUGAUGAGGAAAAGAAUGAAAAGGGCAAAACAUCAUAUGAUUGUGAUAUCUGUGGCAAGUUGUUCUCUCGGAAAGCUAAGUUAGUCAUUCACGAACGUACUCAUACAGGAGAAAAACCAUAUCACUGUGAUAUCUGUGGUAAAUCAUUCGCUCAGAAAGGUAACUUGACUACUCACCAACGUAUUCAUACAGGAGGGAAGCCAUAUCGCUCUGAUAUCUGUGGUAAGUCAUUGUCACAAGAUAGUGAUUUAACAAGACACAAGCAGAUUCAUUCAAGAGGAAAAUAUUUGUACUGUGACAUCUGUGGUAAAUCAUUCUUGCGGAAAGAUAACUUAGUCAUCCACCAACGUAUUCAUACAGGUGAGAAGCCAUAUCAUUGUGACAUUUGGCAAAUGAUUUACUCAUAAAAGCAGCUUAACUUCUAACAAGAGCAUUCAUAUGACAGACAAACCGCUCCAGUGGUCUGUCAUCGUUGUUUUCAAGAGCAAAGGAAUGCUUCUCAGUAAACAACUCUAGACUUUUUUCUUUGCUUGUGAAUAAGUGGUCACGUCUACAAAUGAUGGUGUCCCUGAGUCUUUUCAA
rnacentral:misc_RNA from 1 species